rnacentral:misc_RNA from 1 species
CCCACUCCUUUAUAAGGGUUUUGAGAGGAUGCUCCUCUCUAACGUGGCACGCUUGCGAACCGAUACCAAUCUCAGUGUAGUAAAUUUUAUCAUCACGAAAGAGAAGUUGAGGCCGCCUGAAUCAAACUUUGUA